rnacentral:lncRNA from 1 species
CAACAUACACCAUAACUCUCGGUUUUAGAAAAACUGAGGUCCAAAGCAGCUGUAUUGCUUGCUAAAGUUAUACAGAAUGUUCCUUAAACUGAGUUGGCACUGUGUUCAUUUCUCUUUCCCUCCUAUGUACUUUUCAAGACCAGCAUUUGCCAAACUAUGCUGCACAGACACUAGGGCCUUAGGCUAUGGAACUGGAGUCAUGUCCAGUAAAGGAGAAUGUGUAAUAUUGGGAGAAAAAAACCUUCAGUUAAAGAAAAUUUAAUGGUUUAAAAAACAAAAACAAACAAACAAAAAACUCCAGGACUCUUCUGAACUAUAAUGGGCUCAAGUGCAUAUUGCCAAAGAGAUGGCUAUAGCAUGCAGUGUUUUGCAAAGUCAUAUAUUAACACAACCCCUCUUUAAAAUUUCUCUUCUCUUAAAAAACUAUUUUUUUUUGAAAGAUACGAUUUAGAGGAGCUGUACUGAAUGAAUUCUGUCUGAUGUUCAUAAGUUCUUUAUGUCAAAGUCAUCUUGACUUUGUAUGUGAACAAAAGAAAUGGAAAAAUAUUGGUUGUGGGUUUUUUUCCUGGAUUUGGCUCCGACUUACUCCGUGAGUUUUGACAGAUUCCAAAAUGGCAGGAAAUUGUUUCCGUAGUAUCUGUUGGGAGAACAUUUAAAUUUAUCAAAUUCAAAUCCUAGGCUUAAUAUGAUUUCCAGUUUAAUUACAAGGGGGUCGUUAGAGGUAGUUAUAUUGUGAUUUGAGAAGGCACCCUCAGAAAGCUAAUAGAGAUUGGAGGUUUGGGGAGAGGACCCACAGCACUAGUCAUAGAGAGAAAGAACCCGUGAGUGUCCAGGAUCAUCAGUGCGAGGCAGUAUAAAUGCUGUCGCUACGUGGGUUCGUAAUGGUAGAAGGGACAGUUGAGUUUUUAUAGCUUCCCCAAGGGAAGAAGUAGCUUCAUUUGGUUAAAUGUGGCCUGGAAUAAAACAUCCACACAAAAGAAAUUGUGGAUUUCAGUAGGAGAAAUUGACUCAUGCUGAAUGGUCUCUCUGGACUGGAAAGGGAAGGAAGAGCUCUAGCUGGGAGUUAGUGUGGGAGGAGUGUGCCUCAGGCCCCCAGACUCUGCUGUCUUCUAGCUUUAUGACCUCAGGCAACUCCAUCUCUCUGUUUACUUAAGAGAAAAGUGGGAGGUCUUACCUAAUAUGACUGAUUCUAUGAUACCGAGCUGGGAGGGUCAAAGAAAGGAAGGCAGACUUGUCUGCACAGUUGAUUUUUGAAGGAGCAUGUUAGAGACAUGAUCACAGACUGAUUUUUUUUAACUUUUUAAAAAAUUAUUAUUAAUGUAUAGUUGAUUUGCAAUGUUCCAUCAUGUUCUGUUGUACAACAAAGUGACCCAGUCACACACGUUUCCCUGUGCUAUACAGUAAGGUCCCAUUGCCCAUCCAUUGCGGAUAUAACUGUUUGCAUCCCCCAAACCCCCAAAAUGCCCAUCCCUCCCACUCCCUCCUGACCUGGGAACCCCAAAUCUGCUCUUCUUGGCCAUACUCUCAUUUUUGAAUCAAUAUGUUAGAAACAUGAUCACAGACCGAUUUUUAAACAUUCCAGAUUUGAUAGUCUGAUUGAAUUUUUAUUCAUAAAAAUAGUUACUUUAGGUUUUUUUUAAUAUAAAAAUACUGCCAUUGUUUGAAACAAUAAAAAAAAAUCUAUCUUUGGAAUUACCUUAGAAGAAAUUUAAAGACCCCCAAAUUAAGUACAAUUGUUUUAUGUAGUUAUAAAUAUUUAUAUAUACUUAUGUAUAUUUUGUGUGUGUAUAUAUUUUUAAUAUCGGAUGAUAGUGCCUAAUUUGUUUACUGCUUCACUCAUUAGGCUGAGGUUUGAAUGGUUUGAAAUAGUCAAAAAGUCUGUAGCAAACAAAGUAAAGUUAACCAUUGGAAUUUCCCAUCAUGGCUCAGCAGGAAUGAAUCCAACUAGCAUCCGUGAGGAUGCAACUAGCAUCCAUGAGGACGCAGGUUCAAUUCCUGGCCUCGCUCAGUGGGUUGAGGAUACAGCAGUGCUGUGAGCUGUGGUGUAGGUUUCAGACGAGGCUCAGAUUUGGCAUUGCUGUGGCUGUGGUGUAGGCUGGCAGCUGUAGCUCUGAUUUGACCCCUAGCCUGGGAACUUCCAUAUACCGUGGGUGCAGCCCUAAAAAGGCAAAAAGGAAUAAAAGAAAUGUUACCAUUUAAUUUUUUGAAGACAGCUCCUAAAAAUGAUGCUAGAAUAGUUUUAACAGUGACCACAGCUCUGCAAUAAAUAUCUAAUACCCAUAAGCAAGUACUUUGGAAACUUAACUCUUACUUAGAUGUUUAAAUUCUCAUAUGUUACCUAAAAAUAGCUAUCUUAGAGCAUGUUCGUAUCUGGUGAAAUAAACAGAAAGGACCAGGUAAGCAAAGGCUUGAGAAUCAGAAUGCAGAAAUAGGUAUCAAUGAAAACAAACAGUAUCUUUGAAUUUAUAAGUGGUAUUACACCAAAGGAUUAGAAAUACCUAGAAAGUCUUAAUUUUCCAAGUUGAAUUUUUCCCUGAGUAAUUAAAAUUGCAAUGUAGUCUUAGGCUUUAGAAAUUUCCCAUUAGCUGAAUAGCUCUUACACAUCCUCAAAAAGAUCUGUGCAGAGCGUAAUAGAAUUGCAUAAUUCACAAUCUAAGAUAGGAUAAUUCGAACGGGAGCCGAGCUGAAGCAUAAUAUUACCUUAAAGAUUUUAAUGAAGGGGAAUAUUAACACCAUUAAACAAGAUCAACAAGAUCAAAAGCUAAUAAUCAAAUCGUCUUUAAGCACUGUUAAAGCGUUUGCUUCCACUGAGGCUUUGCUGGGCCGACUGUGAUUUUUACUUGUAUAUUAAAUUAUACUUUCUCCUAGAUAGCAUUGAGCUAGAAGUUCAGUGCAUUUAUAACUUUAGAAAUGAUGAAACUUAAUUUUAAGUAAAAGUGCAGCAUUCACCUGUCCUUUCUCUUGGUGUGCGAAUGGAUUUUCCUACCAGCUAUUUUGAAUGAAUGCCCCUUCAGAACCACCAUCCACAUGUAUGUAUGCGUGUCUCUGUGUGUGAAAAAAUACACAUGUAUGUAUAUACACCUUUCCAUUUGAUUAGUUCCACUGGCCUCAAUAUAAUAAAAUUAUGAUGAUGAAAACAUCUGAUUAAACACCUUUCAGCAUGGUACUGUCCUUCUCCUUGAUAGGAAUUUACAAACUUGGUUUAUCAAUAACAAAAGCAUCCUACAGAUGUGGUAGACACACACACACACACACACACACACACACACAUUUAUUAGCACUUUCCAAAUUUAUUUCCUAUAGAAAUAUACUGUGUACCAUCUUUUAAAAAAGUAUAAAAGCAGCAGAUGAGAAAAAUUUUAGUAAUAUACUUUAUUUCACCCAGUGCCUCCAAAGUAUCGUUUCAACCUGUAAUCCACAUAAACAUUAUUAUUAAUAAGAUAGUUUACAUUUUUUUUUUCAUACUAGAUAGAACUGUGUACUGUACAUCUCAGUUUGACUCGCCACAUUGGAAGUGCUUACUGGGGACGUGUGGCUUGUGGCUACUGUGCUGGACAGUGCACAGCGAGAUGCUCGUCCGUGUGCACAUGCAGCAUGAGUUGCAAGGAAGAUGGGGAUUUUGAGAAUAAGGAAGUUAAGAUGAAGUCGUAGGGUGUUCCCAUUGUGGCGCAGUGAGAACGAAUCCGACUAGGAACCAUGAGGUUGAGGAUUUGAUCCCUGGCCUCACUCAGUGGGUUAAUGAUCUGGCGUUGCCGUGAGCUGUGGUGUGGGUCACAGACGCGACUCGGAUCCUUUGUUGCUGUGGCUCAGGCAUAGGCCGGCAGCAACAGCCCCGAUUAGACCCCUAGCCUGGGAACCUCCAUAUGCCACAGUUGGGGCCCUAAAAGAACCAAAG